rnacentral:tRNA from 1 species
GCGGAUAUAGUUUAAAUCAAAACAUCAGAUCGUGAACCUGAAAAUAGAAAUUUACCC